rnacentral:rRNA from 1 species
UAACACGUAAACAACCUGCCUUCAGGAUGGGGACAACAGACGGAAACGACUGCUAAUACCGAAUAAGUUCCAAGAGCCGCAUGGCCCAUGGAAGAAAAGGUGGCCUCUACCUGUAAGCUAUCGCCUGAAGAGGGGUUUGCGUCUGAUUAGCUGGUUGGAGGGGUAACGGCCCACCAAGGCGACGAUCAGUAGCCGGUCUGAGAGGAUGAACGGCCACACUGGAACUGAGACACGGUCCAGACUCCUACGGGAGGCAGCAGUGGGGAAUCUUCCGCAAUGGGCGAAAGCCUGACGGAGCAACGCCGCGUGAGUGAUGACGGCCUUCGGGUUGUAAUACUCUGUGAUCCGGGACGAAAAGGCAGAGUGCGAAGAACAAACUGCAUUGACGGCACCGGAAAAGCAAGCCACGGCUAACUACGUGCCAGCAGCCGCGGUAAUACGUAGGUGGCAAGCGUUGUCCGGAAUUAUUGGGCGUAAAGCGCGCGCAGGCGGCUUCCCAAGUCCCUCUUAAAAGUGCGGGGCUUAACCCCGUGAUGGGAAGGAAACUGGGAAGCUGGAGUAUCGGAGAGGAAAGUGGAAUUCCUAGUGUAGCGGUGAAAUGCGUAGAGAUUAGGAAGAACACCGGUGGCGAAGGCGACUUUCUGGACGAAAACUGACGCUGAGGCGCGAAAGCGUGGGGAGCAAACAGGAUUAGAUACCCUGGUAGUCCACGCCGUAAAC